rnacentral:rRNA from 1 species
UACGAGUGCCCUAAGCGUUAUCCGGAAUCAUUGGGCGUAAAGGGUGUGUAGGUGGUUGUGUUAGUCUUGUGUUAAAUUCUUCGGCUUAACCGGGGGCAUGCAUGGGAAACGGCACAACUAGAGGAUGCGAGAGGCACAUGGAACUCAUGGAGUAGGGGUGAAAUCCGUUGAUAUCAUGGGGGAACACCGAAAAGCGAAGGCAAUGUGCUGGCGCACUCCUGACACUGAAAACACGAAAAGCGUAGGUAGCGAAUGGG